rnacentral:rRNA from 5 species
UGACUCUCGGCAACGGAUAUCUAGGCUCUUGCAUCGAUGAAGAACGUAGCGAAAUGCGAUACUUGGUGUGAAUUGCAGAAUCCCGUGAACCAUCGAGUCUUUGAACGCAAGUUGCGCCCGAUGCCAUUAGGUUGAGGGCACGUCUGCCUGGGCGUCACAU